CUUCACUUUUUAUCCCGUUCUUUGCGUUUUAAUUGAGAUCGACGAGUAAGUGGAACGAUAUGAAUAGUGAGAAUUAAUUCAUAUACGUAGCUGAUCUUAGUUGAUUGGAUUGAGACGUACUUGUUGUUUGAUUUUGAGUAUAUUUGGCCCUUUUCCGAAAAAUAUAUCAUGUUCAAGCUCCGAAAGGAGCAAUAUUACUAGUUUGGUAGAGUUUUCUUUUUACUA